rnacentral:rRNA from 1 species
UACGGAGGGUGCGAGCGUUGUCCGGAAUCAUUGGGCGUAAAGGGCGCGUAGGUGGCCCGCACAAGUCUGCGGUGAAAACCUCCGGCUUAACCGGGGGCCGGCCGUGGAAACUGUCGGGCUGGAGGCCGGGAGAGGGAUGCGGAAUUCCAGGUGUAGCGGUGAAAUGCGUAGAUAUCAGGAGGAAUACCGGUGGCGAAAGCGACUCUCUGGACGGCAACUGACGCUGAGGCACGAAAGCGUGGGGAGCAAACAGG